ACUGGGUUUCAACUGCCACCUGGGAGACUGCUGGUAAAGAUGGGAGGUGGCCUUUGCCGCUUUCCAUCUUCUCACUGCAGUUUCUUCACGUGGGCCACUUGUACUUAAAAUGUCUUCUUAAUUUAUUCUUUUUACUUCCCCAGCUCCAAUUUGUCUACAGAUUUACAAAUUUGUUUUAUAGUUUUAUGACUCAAUUUGUAUUUUCGGUCCUAUGAAGCUUUUUGCCUUAAAUAUUUUUCUCUGUUUAUAAGAAUGUGCUGUUUCCUAGGCCAGUUUUGUACACACUCUUCCAUAGAAUAGAUCCAGAAGAAACACAACAAUACUGCCUUCAUCAUAUCAGGAGAUCUUGAUACCAAAUACGAGUGUUGCCUCCAAGAUGCAAGAUCCUGAGGGCUCCAAAGAAUCCACUGUCCGUCACAAAUCGACGGUCCGCCAGCUCAGUUUCAGAGACGUGGUGCUCCGCUGCAGGCCUCAUCCUCAGGUGCACCCUGGCAGUCAGCCAUCUGAAGGUACUAUGGAAAUUCAGUUACUCACUCUUGGGAGCAGAAGGAUUCCAGACCAUUCCUGUGUGCACCCUGGCAGGGAGCCAUCUGAAGAGGAUAUUUACCAGGCCUCUUUCUGUGAGGAGACCCUGUCCUGGAGUGAUGCCGUGCAUUUGUGUGCUGCCUGGGUGAACACUGCCUACUUCACAGUGAUGAGGGUGGCUUAGACAGAGACCCGAGGCUCUGUCCUCCAGGGCUCUCCUGAUGGUCUCCUUUACCUUCCUUCACCACCAAGGAGGGUGGCCCAGCAGCAGCUCAGCCUGUGCUCUCACCCACCUCCUCUGCACACACCAGUCCUCGUCCUCAGCACCCAAGGCUGCCAGAGGUCCUUCAGCAGCUCCCGUGGCUGACAGUGACUCUACGUUUCCUAGAUUUCAGGGACCACCUGGAGGGGAGCGGACCAGAGAGACUUCCUCGGAAUAGGCUGUGGCUCUUCACAAGGUGUCUUCUAUGCUUUAUUUGGGAGCCAUUGCCUUGAGCGUUAUUUCCCAGAUGGUUUUCUAAUGUCACCAACUGAAGAAAAGACCCAUGCACACAGGACACAGCAUGAUCUGAUGCUCACAGCGUUUUCCUUCCUCUCUGAAAACGGACUCAGCGAUUCUGGCAAGCGGUACUUACUCUGAGAUCACCCGUUUGCUAAGGAAAAAUCUUAGUACUGAGAAAGGUGACACUUUCCUCCCUGCUUUUGCUGGAGAGACACUUUGGUUAUGAGUUAUUUCUAGCAUAACACAGUUUAUUUCAGAAGUCCAGCUCAAUAGCAGACCAAGGCAUGAACAACACAUGAAAAUUUAUGUUGGGAAAAUAUAUAUUGUAUGUCUGCUUG
ensembl:lncRNA LINC01120 long intergenic non-protein coding RNA 1120